rnacentral:rRNA from 1 species
AACCGACACAGGUGGAUGAGGAGAGAAUCCUAAGGCCGGCGGGAGAAGCAUUGUUAAGGAACUCGGCAAAAUGACCCUGUAACUUCGGGAUAAAGGGUGCCACAGAGAUGUGGCCGCAGAGAAUAGGCUCAAGCAACUGUUUAGCAAAAACACAGGUCUAUGCGAAACCGAAAGGUGAGGUAUAUGGGCUGACGCCUGCCCGGUGCUGGAAGGUUACGAGGAGAGGUUAGAGCAAUCGAAGCUUUGAAUCUAAGCCCCAGUAAACGGCGGCCGUAACUAUAACGGUCCUAAGGUAGCGAAAUUCCUUGUCGGGUAAGUUCCGACCCGCACGAAAGGCGUAAUGAUUUGAGCGCUGUCUCGACAAUGCACCCGGUGAAAUUGAAAUACCAGUGAAGAUGCUGGUUACCUGCGCCAGGACGGAAAGACCCCAUGGAGCUUUACUCUAGCUUGAUACUGGGAUUCGGUACUGCAUGUACAGGAUAGGUGGGAGACUUUGAUGACAGGACGCCAGUCUUGUCGGAGUCGCUGUUGGGAUACCACCCUUGUGGUACUGGAUUUCUAACCAACCUCCGUGACCCGGAGGUGGGACAAUGUCAGGUGGGGAGUUUGACUGGGGCGGUCGCCUCCGAAAGGGUAUCGGAGGCGCUCAAAGGUUCCCUCAGAAUGGUUGGAAACCAUUCAAAGAGUGCAAAGGCAGAAGGGAGCUUGACUGCGAGACCGACGGGUCGAGCAGGUACGAAAGUAGGACUUAGUGAUCCGGUGGUAGAAAGUGGGAUUGCCAUCGCUCAACGGAUAAAAGCUACCCUGGGGAUAACAGGCUUAUCACUCCCAAGAGUUCACAUCGACGGAGUGGUUUGGCACCUCGAUGUCGGCUCAUCGCAUCCUGGGGCUGAAGUAGGUCCCAAGGGUUGGGCUGUUCGCCCAUUAAAGCGGUACGCGAGCUGGGUUCAGAACGUCGUGAGACAGUUCGGUCCCUAUCCGGCGCGGGCGUAGGAUAUUUGAGAGGAGCUGCCCUUAGUACGAGAGGACCGGGGUGGACUGGCCUCUGGUGUAUCUGUUGAGCUAUCAAGCUCAUGGCAGAGUAGCCAAGCCGGGACGGGAUAAACGCUGAAGGCAUCUAAGCGUGAAGCCCCCCUCAAGAUGAGAUAUCCCAUACGCAAGUAGUAAGACCCCUUGAAGACGACGAGGUAGAUAGGGCAGAGGUGGAAGCGUAGUAAUACGUGAAGCUGACUGUUACUAAUCGGUCGAGGGCUUAACCAA